rnacentral:rRNA from 1 species
GACAGAGGGUGCAAGCGUUAUCCGGAAUGAUUGGGCGUAAAGCGUCUGUAGGCGGCUUUUCAAGUCCGCCGUCAAAUCCCAGGGCUCAACCCUGGACAGGCGGUGGAAACUACCAAGCUGGAGUGCGGUAGGGGCAGGGGGAAUUUCCGGUGGAGCGGUGAAAUGCGUAGAGAUCGGGAAGAACACCAGCGGCGAAAGCACUCUGCUGGGCCGACACUGACGCUGAGGGACGAAAGCUAGGGGAGCAAAUGGG